CGCCUGCGCAUUUACUACCGGAAGCCGUGUCAGAAAGCUCGGUGCACACUCACAAGUGCGUGUACGUAUUCAGUAGUACGGACUUGGCGCACUCUCGCUCUAUUCGUAUCAGUCCCGAAUUUAGAGCGUGGGCUUUGACGACAGCAUUCUUAUAAUUCGCGCGCUGAGCUUUCAGAUGCAGUUUUGCGCUAAAGCCACCCACAAACCUACCCCUGGAAUCCUUCCAUUAAAAUGAGUGGCCCGAAAAAAAGAAGUGAGUGCCGAGUGUUUAAAAAAGAGUGGCCAAUUUGGCUCGACGUACGCGACGUGACGUUCAGCCACAUCAACAUCAACCCGUCACAGAUCAAGGAGGGGAGCUGUAUUAUUGCCGCCAAAAAGGCACAGACCAGGCAGUCCAAGUGAAGGUUGUCUGUGGUGCUGAAGAGGCAAAUGAAAUUCUUAAGAGUUUUCAUGCCAGCCCGGCAGGGGCACACACCGGGCAAAAUAAAACAAGACACAGCAUCUUUCUGCUGGCCAGCGAUGUCUGUUGACAUUAAUGAGUGGGUGUCCCAGUGCACGGAAUGUCAGGCAGCCGGCAUAUCAAUAAAAAGCCCAACAGAGGUCAUGCCUAUACAGUUUGCAGAACAUCUUCUUUCAAAUGAAGAAAUAGAUUUCUCAGCAAAGGCACAUGAUGUAAAUAGGUACAGGGUGCAAAUUGCCACCACACUUCUAUUAGAGACUGAUGAUUUAUCUAACUUGUGCUUUGUUUGUGGGGAAGGUACACAUGACACAGACAACAGAUGGGUAAUUAUGUCAGGUCUUGUUAACUAAUGCAUGUGAUGAUUAAGAAGUAUAUUGAAUUACACAUUCGUUGUAAAUUAUUGUGUGACGAGUGUUGCAGGUGGUUCCAUCUUGUAUGUGUCGGGGAGCCUCCAACCGAAGGCUCUUUUUUGUGUACAACAUGUACAGAAAUUAAAUGCUAAAUAUUUGAAGCUUG